UUGAAUAAAUCUGGCAUGGUUGUAGCUGGCUCUUAGGAGCAUGUGCACACCUGUCACCUUUAUCUUUCCACCUGUGAACCCUUUGUAGUCCCAGGAUAACCUCUCGCACACUCUGGUGUUGCGGAUGCGAAGGUUGUCGUGCCUCUGGCGGCUUCCAUCGAAUUUCCUGGGUCUAUGUUUCUUACACACCCCUGUAUGUUAAAAGAAUGUUGAUUUCAAAUGGCUUAGGCCUAUAGAAACUCAAUA
rnacentral:misc_RNA from 1 species